rnacentral:rRNA from 1 species
GCGCAGCAGGCGAGAAUUUUUCUCAAUGGGGGAAACCCUGAAGGAGCGACGCCGCGUGGAGGAUGAAGGCUUUCGGGUUGUAAACUCCUGUCAUUUGGGAACAAGGUGCACACGUUAACUGCGUGGGUAUUGAUAGUACCAGAAGAGGAAGGGACGGCUAACUCUGUGCCAGCAGCCGCGGUAAUACAGAGGUCCCAAGCGUUGUUCGGAUUCAUUGGGCGUAAAGGGUGCGUAGGUGGCGCUGUAAGUCGGGUGUGAAAUUUCGAGGCUUAACCUCGAAACUGCAUUCGAUACUGCGGUGCUUGAGGACUGGAGAGGAGACUGGAAUUCAUGGUGUAGCAGUGAAAUGCGUAGAGAUCAUGAGGAAGACCAGUGGCGAAGGCGGGUCUCUGGACAGUUCCUGACACUGAGGCACGAAGGCCAGGGGAGCAAACGGGAUUAGAUA